rnacentral:rRNA from 1 species
AGAGUUUGAUCCUGGCUCAGGAUGAACGCUGGCGGCGUGCCAUAUACAUGCAAGUCGAACGCUUUGUCUUUAAUUGAUCUGAAGAGCUUGCUCUGAUUUGAUUUUAUCUGACAAAGAGUGGCGCACGGGUGAGUAACACGUGGGUAACCUACCUCUUAGCAGGGGAUAACAUUUGGAAACAAGUGCUAAUACCGUAUAAUACCAACAACCGCAUGGUUGUUGGUUGAAAGAUGGUUCUGCUAUCACUAAGAGAUGGACCCGCGGUGCAUUAGCUAGUUGGUAAGGUAACGGCUUACCAAGGCAAUGAUGCAUAGCCGAGUUGAGAGACUGAUCGGCCACAAUGGGACUGAGACACGGCCCAUACUCCUACGGGAGGCAGCAGUAGGGAAUCUUCCACAAUGGGCGCAAGCCUGAUGGAGCAACGCCGCGUGUGUGAUGAAGGGUUUCGGCUCGUAAAACACUGUUAUAAGAGAAGAACGGCACUGAGGGUAACUGUUCAGUGUGUGACGGUAUCUUACCAGAAAGGAACGGCUAAAUACGUGCCAGCAGCCGCGGUAAUACGUAUGUUCCAAGCGUUAUCCGGAUUUAUUGGGCGUAAAGCGAGCGCAGACGGUUAUUUAAGUCUGAAGUGAAAGCCCUCAGCUCAACUGAGGAAUGGCUUUGGAAACUGGAUGACUUGAGUGCAGUAGAGGAAAGUGGAACUCCAUGUGUAGCGGUGAAAUGCGUAGAUAUAUGGAAGAACACCAGUGGCGAAGGCGGCUUUCUGGACUGUAACUGACGUUGAGGCUCGAAAGUGUGGGUAGCAAACAGGAUUAGAUACCCUGGUAGUCCACACCGUAAACGAUGAGUGCUAGAUGUUCGAGGGUUUCCGCCCUUGAGUGUCGCAGCU